AUGUUGCUCUUUUCACUCAUCAUCUCGAUUGUGAGGAUCGUGUUUUUUCGUGCUUAUCCAUUUAACUGGAGUGCUUGCAUGUACUUCUUGUCCAUUGUAACCCUUUUCUUAUGUCUUUCAACCCCCAGGGUUCACAUGGUGUUCCUUGUUUCUAUUUUCUACCGCGGUGCUCUCAAUUGUGUUCAACUCCGUUGUGUUCUUUCUUUCAACUUUUCAACCUCUCAAGGUUCUUUGGUUUCACUCAUUAGUCGAAGAAGCAACUUAGUUUUACCUCUUCUCUUCAUCUUCCAUUUCUCUCCGGUGCCAUCCUAG
rnacentral:rRNA from 1 species